rnacentral:rRNA from 1 species
GUAAGUCUCAGUUCGGAUUGAAGGCUGAAAUUCGCCUUCAUGAAGCCGGAAUUGCUAGUAAUGGCAGGUCAGCAUACUGCCGUGAAUACGUUCCCGGGCCUUGUACACACCGCCCGUCACACCAUGAGAGUUGGGAAUACCCGAAGCCUGUGAGCUAACGCAAGAGGCAGCAGUCGAAGGUAGAAUCAAUGAUUGGGGUGAAGUCGUAACAAGGUACC